AUUGAACGCUGGCGGCAGGCCUAACACAUGCAAGUCGAGCGGAUGACGGGAGCUUGCUCCUUGAUUCAGCGGCGGACGGGUGAGUAAUGCCUAGGAAUCUGCCUGGUAGUGGGGGACAACGUUUCGAAAGGAACGCUAAUACCGCAUACGUCCUACGGGAGAAAGCAGGGGACCUUCGGGCCUUGCGCUAUCAGAUGAGCCUAGGUCGGAUUAGCUAGUUGGUGGGGUAAUGGCUCACCAAGGCGACGAUCCGUAACUGGUCUGAGAGGAUGAACAGUCACACUGGGACUGGGACACGGUCCAGACUCCUACGGGAGGCAGCAGUGGGGAAUAUUGGACAAUGGGCGAAAGCCUGAUCCAGCCAUGCCGCGUGUGUGAAGAAGGUCUUCGGAUUGUAAAGCACUUUAAGUUGGGAGGAAGGGCAGUAAGUUAAUACCUUGCUGUUUUGACGUUACCGACAGAAUAAGCACCGGCUAACUCUGUGCCAGCCGCCGCGGUAA
rnacentral:rRNA from 1 species